rnacentral:lncRNA from 1 species
GCACAAGGGACCUUAUUUAGGUUGCGCAGGCGCCCGCUGGCCAUUUCGUCUUAGCCACGCAGAAGUCGCGUGUCUAGUUUGUUUCGACGCCGGACCGCGUAAGAGACGAUGAUGUUGGGCACGGAAGGUGGAGAGGGAUUCGUGGUGAAGGUCCGGGGCUUGCCCUGGUCUUGCUCGGCCGAUGAAGUGCAGAGGUUUUUUUCUGACUGCAAAAUUCAAAAUGGGGCUCAAGGUAUUCGUUUCAUCUACACCAGAGAAGGCAGACCAAGUGGCGAGGCUUUUGUUGAACUUGAAUCAGAAGAUGAAGUCAAAUUGGCCCUGAAAAAAGACAGAGAAACUAUGGGACACAGAUAUGUUGAAGGUUUGAUUUACAUUGCCCUAGUUACAGUAAAUAAAGCAUUAAACAAUAGAGGUCUCACCCCUUCUGAAUUUUAGGUAUUUGACUGCAUGGAAAUGGUCAUCUAAGGGAGUUUGUGGCAGCUCUUCCUAGCUUAUCUAAAGACCCAGGAAGUCUGAACUUUGUUAUCUAAUUUUCCAAAAGUGACUAAUUCUAAGCACCUCUUUCAGUAUUCAAGUCAAACAACGUUGAAAU